AUGUCGGGCGGGGACGAGCAGCAAGAGCAAACUAUCGCCUAGGACCUGGUCGUGACCAAGUAUAAGAUGGGGGGCGACAUCGCCAAUCGGGUUCUUUGGUCUUUGGUGGAAGCUUCCAGCUCAGGUGUGUCAAUACUGAGCCUGUGGGAAAAAGGUGAUGCCAUGAUUAUGGAAGAGACAGGGAAAAUCUUCAAGAAAGAAAAGGAAAUGAAGAAAGGUAUUGCCUUUCCUACCAGCAUUUCAGUAAGUAACUGUGUAUGUCACUUUUCCCCUUUGAAGAGAGGCCAGGAUUACAUUCUCAAGGGAGGUGAUUUGGUAAAAAUUGACCUUGGAGUCCAUGGGGAUGGCUUCAUUGCUAAUGUGGCCCACACUUUUGUGGUUGAUGUAGCGGAGGGAACCCCAGUUACAGGGCGGAAAGCAGAUGCCAUUAAAGCAGCUCACCUUUGUGCUGAGGCUGCCCUACGCUUGGUCAAACCUGGAAACCAGAACACACAAGUGACAGAAGCCUGGAAUAAAGUUGCCCACUCAUUUAAGUGCACACCAAUAGAAGGUAUGCUGUCACACCAAUUGAAGCAGCAUGUCAUCGAUGGAGAAAAAACCAUUAUCCAAAAUCCAACAGACCAGCAAAAGAAGGACCAUGAAAAGAAUGCAUUUGAAGUACACGAGGUAUAUGCUGUGGAUGUUCUUGUCAGCUCAGGAGAAGGAAAGGCCAAAGAUGCAGGGCAGAGAACUACCAUUUAUAAACGAGAUCCGUUCAAACAAUAUGGCCUGAAAAUGAAAACUUCUCGUGCCUUCUUCAGUGAGGUGGAAAGACGUUUUGAUGACAUGCCAUUUACUUUAAGAGCAUUUGACGAUGAAAAGAAGGCCCGGAUGGGUGUGGUGGAAUGCGCCAAGCAUGAACUACUACAGCCAUUUAAUGUUCUCUAUGAGAAGGAGGGUGAGUUCGUUGCCCAGUUUAAAUUUACUGUUCUGCUCAUGCCCAGUGGCCCCAUGAGGAUAACCAGUGGUCCCUUUGAACCUGACCUCUACAAGUCUGACCUGGAAGUCCAGGAUGAGGAGCUGAAGGCCCUCCUUCAGAGUUCUGCAAGCCGGAAAACUCAGAAAAAGAAAAAAAAAGAAGGCCUCCAAGACUGUAGAGAAUGCCACCAGUGGGGAAACUUUAGAAGAGAAUGAAGCUGGGGUCUGA